rnacentral:misc_RNA from 1 species
GAUGAAGAACGUAGCGAAAUGCGAUAAGUAAUGUGAAUUGCAGAAUUCAGUGAAUCAUCGAAUCUUUGAACGCACAUUGCGCCCGCUGGUAUUCCGGCGGACAUGCCUGUUCGAGCGUCAUUUCAACCCUCAAGCUCUCCGGAGUUUGGUGUUGGGGCGCCUGGGGCUUUUCGACCUCAGGGCCCUCAAGUCCAUCGGCGGGACCGCCAGGACACUGAGCGCAGUAGUAUUAUUUCGCUCGGUAGGAUCUUCCACGGCGGGUCGAUCUGGCCGCUAAACCCCCCAAUUCUCACCAAAGGUUGACCUCGGAUCAGGUAGGAAUACCCGCUGAACUUAAGCAUAUCAAUAAGCGGAGGA